rnacentral:rRNA from 1 species
UACACACCGCCCGUCAAGCCACCUGAGUUGGGAGCACCCGAAGUCGUUCACUUAACCCGCAAGGGAGAGCAGCGCCUAAGGUGAGACCAAUAAGGAGGGCU